rnacentral:misc_RNA from 1 species
AGGAAGAUCACCAAUUGAUGAAAUAUUCAAAGAUGGCUUAAAUCUUCACUGCUUUGUGAAGGCAGCAUUGCCAGAAAGCCUUGUGUGGAUCAUGGAUCCCAACCUCCUCACAGAACAAAUAGAAGAAACAAACGCUGCAAGAACGGCAACAGAAGAAGAAAAAGAAGUAUCUAACGCUAAUGGAAACCUGAGCAGGAUGAGUGCGAAAGCACGAAGUUGUG